UGAGCGGAGAUAUAUGGAGCUUGCUUUAUAUAACUUAGCAGCGAACGGGUGAGUAACACGUAGAUAAUCUAUCCUAUACUGGGGGAUAGCCCGAUGAAAGUUGGAUUAAUACCGCAUAUAGCUAUAUAGUUGCAUGAUUAUGUAGUGAAAGAUUUAUUGGUAUAGGAGGAGUCUGCGGCACAUUAGCUAGUAGGUGAGGUAAAGGCUUACCUAGGCGACGAUGUGUAGCCGGUCUGAGAGGAUGAACGGCCACAAUGGAACUGAGACACGGUCCAUACUCCUACGGGAGGCAGCAGUGGGGAAUAUUGCACAAUGGGGUAAACCCUGAUGCAGCAACGCCGCGUGAGUGAAGAAGGUUUUCGGAUUGUAAAGCUCUGUUAGCAGGGAAGAGGAAGGACGGUACCUGCAGAGGAAGCCACGGCUAACUACGUGCCAGCAGCCGCGGUAAUACGUAGGUGGCAAGCGUUGUUCGGAAUAACUGGGCGUAAAGGAUGCGUAGGCGGUUAAACAAGUUAUAUGUUAAAUAUAUAGGCUUAACCUGUAGAAAGCAUAUAAAACUGUUUAACUAGAGUGCAGGAGAGGUAAGUGGAAUUCCUAGUGUAGCGGUGAAAUGCGUAGAGAUUAGGAAGAACACCAGUGGCGAAGGCGACUUACUGGACUGUAACUGACGCUGAGGCAUGAGAGCAU
rnacentral:rRNA from 1 species